UUUCGGGUGACGAUUCCCUGGAGUUACUAUCCUCAUGGUGAGAGGAACUGCUCGCCCGGCUGAUAUCAAUUCUUGGUGUGCUGGGUGUCUUUAGCGAACUACCAGGCGUUGCCGGGGUGGCGACCUCGAUGAUGCCUGGCAUUCGUGUCGUUGGUUCCCCCUGCAUUCAAAUUCGUAGACUGGUUUGUCGUUGGAUCACAGUCUUGGAAUUGAAGGUGUAGAACUUCGGGGUUCAGGCGCCUCCAAAGUUUAAGAGGAAGACGUGCGACACUCGGAGAGGGAACACACGUGCUCGAUUCUCGUGAGCCGAGUGGGUCUCGGAGAGUCGAUAAGAAGUAGGACUCAGGGAGGACUCAUGGGGGACUCACGUUUUCCACCUCGUCCGAUAGGUCUUCGAAGGACGCUAUUGGUGCUGGUCCAAGCUUCCUCUGACGAGCGCUCGGCAAUCCUGAUGCCAUAUUCGAUAGCUCGGACCUCGGAGAUACUGGAAAGCCGAUGAACAAAAAAGACGAUUAUAAUUCUUCUUUAUUUUCAAUUAAAAGGAUUUCGGUGAUAUCUACGUAUAUUAAGAUAUAUGAAAGGUCUAUGAGUAUAUUACUACAUACUUGUGUUAACUAAAAUCGAUAGAGAAGCGAUCGUUAAGGGUUCAAGCAAACAUUCAGAAAAAUAAUCGUACAUAUAUUGCGUUCUACUAAUGAUCUUCCAUGAUGGAAAAUCGAUGAACAUGACUAUAAUCUGCGGAGGCCAUGUAUAAAGACCAUCUCUCAGCGAUCGUGAACGUGACUUAAAGUUUAAAGCUCGCCGUCGCAUCGCAUAAUCUAACUUUGUCAUUGACGAUGGGCGGAGCUUCAACAGGCCAACAAAGCUUAUCUUUUCAUAAGUCACGUUCACCAAUUGAUUCUCCGAACUUUCAUUUUCCAAUAGCAACUAUAAAAAAGAUUUAAUAUGGUCGAUAGAUAGUUGUUGAUUCCGAUCUCAAAACAAAAAAAAAAUUUCUAAACAGGUUAUCAGGACAGUUCUAAGUGUAAAAUUCUUGUACGUAUUGUAUGAUAAAUCGAAAGUAACAUGAAACAACCGUGUCGAGUGCCCAUUAACGACGUAUAAUGAAUGCAAGCGUAGGAGUAAAAGGGCGCGUAAAUGCAUUGAAUAAGAAGGGAGUAAAAUGAAGCGAAUGAAGACACUUCGGACAAAGGCUGCUUGAAGAAUGGCAUUAAGAUUGUUCGAGAAAAAUUAUAUUUAUCUUCCCUAAUUUUUCUAUUUCAAACGAUGCUAAAAUCGAAAAUUUUUGUUCUUUAAGUUCUU